rnacentral:ncRNA from 2 species
CGUUACCACAAGGGGAGCAUUUUUUUGCUGAGAGUGAACAUAUUUGUUCUGACCCUUUGAACCUGUUAGUUAGUACUAGCGUAGGGAUGUGGAUUGAAUAAUGG